GACAGAGGUCCCGAGCGUUGUUCGGAUUCAUUGGGCGUAAAGGGUGUGUAGGAGGCUAGGUAAGUCAGGUGUGAAAUCUCAGAGCUUAACUCUGAAACUGCGCUUGAUACUGCUUAGCUAGAGGAUCGGAGGGGGUAACGGAAUUCAUGGUGUAGCAGUGAAAUGCGUAGAUAUCAUGAGGAACACCGGUGGCGAAGGCGGGUCUCUGGACAGUUCCUGACGCUGAGGCACGAAGGCCAGGGGAGCAAACGGG
rnacentral:rRNA from 1 species